GACGAACGCUGGCGGCGUGCUUAACACAUGCAAGUCGAACGGUGAAGCCCAGCUUGCUGGGUGGGUUAGUGGCGCACGGGGGAGUAAAACGUGAGCAUCGUGCGCGCGACUCUGGAAUAACUACCGGAAACGGUGGCGAUAACUGGAGAUGUGACAGGGAGCCGCCUGCUCUGGUUGGAAAGAUUUCGCGGUUUGGGAUUGGCUCACGGCCUAUCAGCUUGUUGGUGGGGUAAUGGCCUACCAAGGCGACGACGGGUAGCCGGCCUGAGAGGGUGACCGGCCACAUUGGGACUGAGACACGGCCCAGACUCCUACGGGAGGCAGCAGUGGGGAAUAUUGCACAAUGGGCGCAAGCCUGAUGCAGCAACGCCGCGUGCGGGAUGACGGCCUUCGGGUUGUAAACCGCUUUUGGCAGUGAAGAAGCGCAAGUGACGGUACUUGCAGAAAAAGCACCGGCUAACUACGUG
rnacentral:rRNA from 1 species